rnacentral:rRNA from 1 species
AACGAACGCUGGCGGUAUGCCUAACACAUGCAAGUCGAACGAGAUCUUCGGGUCUAGUGGCGCACGGGUGCGUAACGCGUGGGAAUCUGCCCUUUGGUUCGGAAUAACAGUUGGAAACGACUGCUAAUACCGGAUGAUGACGAAAGUCCAAAGAUUUAUCGCCAGAGGAUGAGCCCGCGUAGGAUUAGCUAGUUGGUGUGGUAAAGGCGCACCAAGGCGACGAUCCUUAGCUGGUCUGAGAGGAUGAUCAGCCACACUGGGGCGGAGACACGGCCCAGACGCCGACGGGAGGCAGCAGUGGGGAAUAGUGGACAAUGGGCGAAAGCCUGAUCCAGCAAUGCCGCGUGAGUGAUGAAGGCCUGAGGGUUGUAAAGCUCUUUUACCCGGGAUGAUAAUGACAGUACCGGGAGAAUAAGCUCCGGCUAACUCCGUGCCAGCCGCCGCGGUAA